rnacentral:rRNA from 1 species
UUAAAUUAUUCAUAAAUGUUAUUUAAAGCUAGUCUUCCAAAGAUAACUAAAAUAAAGAUUUGAAAGUAGUCUUUAAUUAAAAGUUAAGAACGAACUUGUUACAGGUGUACAUAUCGCCCGUCACCCUCGUCUAAAGAUGAGGUAAGUCGUAACAUAGUUAGUGUACUGGAAAGUGCACUAAGGGGAAUUAAAAGCUUUAGCGUUUCAUUUACACAGAAAAGAGUGGUCAUUCAAUUUCCAUAAACUUUAUUUGUUUAAGCCACUAUUUAUUUCCUUUAAUUUUCGUGUUCUCUUGGUAUAACCGUAAGGGACCUUUAAAUUGAUUUUAAGAAACUUUUCAUGUACCUUUUGUAUCAGG